CGGGGGACGAACAAUUCCAAAGGGAAGUGCUAAUACCGGAUGUGACGCUCCUAUCGCAUGACGGGAGCGUGAAAGAUGGCCUCUACAUGUAAGCUAUCGCUAAAGGAUGGGCCUGCGGCUGAUUAGCUAGUUGGUAGUGUAACGGACAACCAAGGCGAUGAUCAGUAGCCGGUCUGAGAGGAUGAACGGCCACAUUGGGACUGAGACACGGCCCAG
rnacentral:rRNA from 1 species